GACGAACGCUGGCGGCGUGCCUAAUACAUGCAAGUCGAACGAGAGCGACCGGUGCUUGCACUGGUCAAUCUAGUGGCGAACGGGUGAGUAACACGUGGGUAACCUGCCCAUCAGAGGGGGAUAACAUCCGGAAACGGAUGCUAAAACCGCAUAGGUCUUCGAACCGCAUGGUUUGAAGAGGAAAAGAGGCGCAAGCUUCUGCUGAUGGAUGGACCCGCGGUGCAUUAGCUAGUUGGUGAGGUAACGGCUCACCAAGGCCGUGAUGCAUAGCCGACCUGAGAGGGUGAUCGGCCACAUUGGGACUGAGACACGGCCCAAACUCCUACGGGAGGCAGCAGUAGGGAAUCUUCCGCAAUGGACGCAAGUCUGACGGAGCAACGCCGCGUGAGUGAAGAAGGUUUUCGGGUCGUAAAACUCUGUUGUUAGGGAAGAACAAGUGCUAGAGUAACUGUUAGCGCCUUGACGGUAUCUAACCAGAAAGCCACGGCUAACUACGUG
rnacentral:rRNA from 1 species